rnacentral:rRNA from 1 species
AUGCAGUCGAGCGGACUUGAUGGAGAGCUUGCUCUCCUGAUGGUUAGCGGCGGACGGGUGAGUAACACGUAGGCAACCUGCCUGCAAGACCGGGAUAACCCACGGAAACGUGAGCUAAUACCGGAUAUCUCAUUUCCUCUCCUGAGGGGAUGAUGAAAGACGGAGCAAUCUGUCACUUGCGGAUGGGCCUGCGGCGCAUUAGCUAGUUGGUGAGGUAACGGCUCACCAAGGCGACGAUGCGUAGCCGACCUGAGAGGGUGAACGGCCACACUGGGACUGAGACACGGCCCAGACUCCUACGGGAGGCAGCAGUAGGGAAUCUUCCGCAAUGGGCGAAAGCCUGACGGAGCAACGCCGCGUGAGUGAUGAAGGUUUUCGGAUCGUAAAGCUCUGUUGCCAGGGAAGAACGUCCGGUAGAGUAACUGCUAUCGGAGUGACGGUACCUGAGAAGAAAGCCCCGGCUAACUACGUGCCAGCAGCCGCGGUAAUACGUAGGGGGCAAGCGUUGUCCGGAAUUAUUGGGCGUAAAGCGCGCGCAGGCGGUCAUUUAAGUCUGGUGUUUAAGGCCAAGGCUCAACCUUGGUUCGCACUGGAAACUGGGUGACUUGAGUGCAGAAGAGGAGAGUGGAAUUCCACGUGUAGCGGUGAAAUGCGUAGAUAUGUGGAGGAACACCAGUGGCGAAGGCGACUCUCUGGGCUGUAACUGACGCUGAGGCGCGAAAGCGUGGGGGAGCAAACAGGAUUAGAUACCCUGGUAGUCCACGCCGUAAACGAUGAAUGCUAGGUGUUAUGGGUUUCGAUACCCUUGGUGCCGAAGUUAACACAUUAAGCAUUCCGCCUGGGAGUACGGUCGCAAGACUGAAACUCAAAAGGAAUUGACGGGGACCCGCACAAGCAGUGGAGUAUGUGGUUUAAUUCGGAAGCAACGCGAAGAACCUUACCAGGUCUUGACAUCCCUCUGA